CACACAACACACAACACACAACACACAUAUAAUACUGGAAUACAUCCAUUCAUAUUAUACGCCAUAUAUCAAUUAUGCAAUGAGACUCCAUGCAUGCGGUACCGACUCUUUGUGAACAUAUAGUUCACCUCACCGUCCAAAUCCAGGCACGGCUACCAAGCCCACUAGUCCCACUCAUUUGAGACCUAGUGACUCACUCACUAAUUCCUCACCAUGGGAA
rnacentral:lncRNA from 1 species